rnacentral:rRNA from 1 species
GAUGAACGCUGGCGGCGUGCUUAACACAUGCAAGUCGAACGAAGCAUUUGCGACAGAUUUUUUCGGAAUGAAGUUGCUUAUGACUGAGUGGCGGACGGGUGAGUAACGCGUGGGUAACCUGCCUUGUACUGGGGGAUAGCAGCUGGAAACGGCUGGUAAUACCGCAUAAGCGCACAAUGUUGCAUGACAUGGUGUGAAAAACUCCGGUGGUAUAAGAUGGACCCGCGUCUGAUUAGCUAGUUGGUGAGAUAACAGCCCACCAAGGCGACGAUCAGUAGCCGACCUGAGAGGGUGACCGGCCACAUUGGGACUGAGACACGGCCCAGACUCCUACGGGAGGCAGCAGUGGGGAAUAUUGCACAAUGGAGGAAACUCUGAUGCAGCGACGCCGCGUGAGUGAAGAAGUAAUUCGUUAUGUAAAGCUCUAUCAGCAGGGAAGAUAGUGACGGUACCUGACGAAGAAGCGCCGGCUAAAUACGUG